CCCUUACUCGGCUCAAGAAAACCAGUCUCACCAGCAGCUCUGGCACAGGAGCCCCAGGCCAGGGACUCCCAGCUGUCCCACUCAGCGAUCGCACUCCACACAGACACUCACCAUGGAGACUGCUCUGAGAUGGCUUCUCCUGGUCACUGUGCUCCAAGGUGUCCAGUGUCAGGAGCAGCUGGAGGAGUCCGGUGGAGGUUUGGUCCAGCCUGAGGCAACACUGACACUCACCUGCAAAGCCUCUGGAUUCACCAUCAGUAGCUACAGCAUGUACUGGAUCCGCCAGGCUCCCAGCAAAGGGCUUGAGUGACUUGCAUUCAUUAGUUAUGAUGGUAGUAGCACAUACUAUGCGUCCUCCGUGAAGGGCCGAUUCACCAUCUCCAGCAGCAGCGCUACCAGCACGGUGUCCCUGCAAAUGACCGCUCUGACAGCCCAGGACACGGCCAUCUAUUACUGUGCCAGAGACACAGUGCAGGGAUCUCAGUGUGAGCCCAGACACAAACCUGCCUGCAGGGGCGCGCUGCCCCACCAGGGGGCGCAGUGCUGUCUGAGCUGA